UCCUGUGGCUCAGUUGUUAGAGCGUUGCGCUAACAAGGCAAAGGUCAUGGGUUCAAAUCCCAGGGAUUGCAGGAA
rnacentral:tRNA from 1 species